GCAAACUCUUAACUGUGAGCUCAUACCUAAUAAAACUCAAGUUACCGUCCCCCUGGGCCUCUAUAGUGUCCCAUGCUAGAGCAAACUGUGGCUCCUACCCAUUACCCAGCCUUUGUGCCUGUAGUUUGCAGGCACUGAAGUGGGUCACACGGUG